CCCUCGCCUCUCCCUCACGCGCCGCUCUCCCUCUUCCUCACGCGCUGCUCUCCGCCGCCUCCCCCUCACGCGCUGCUCUCCCUCAGCGGCGACGGAGCCUCCUCGUCUGGACUACCUCUCCCCUCUCCUCUCCGCGCCCCACCCCCUCCCCGGGCUCCCUCCCUUCCUUCCUCCCCUAGCGCGGCCGCAGAUAGGCGGCAGCAGUGGCUGGGGCCGACCCUCCCUUCCCCAGCCACCUUCCUCCCCCUCUCCACUAGGCGCGACGACAGUGGGAACGGAGCCUCUCUCCGCAGCCUCCUCCCUCCACUUUUUGCAAGUGGCAAGAUUUUGACAAUAACAAAGGUUGUGGUUAGAGACGGUGAUGAAAAUCUGGAGAUUUCCCUUAAUCGUACUCAAACCCAAGAGGAUGGAACACACUUUCGGCAGGAAUUCCUCUACCAUCGGUUGAACAACAACAAACCGUUAUUGCCUGCGAUUCUUGAGAAAGGCCGUAGAUUGACACCAAGUAGUAUUGUAGUUUUCUUUUUGCCUUCCCACUUUGUAUGGAAAAUACAUGUACUCAGUGGCUCUUAG
rnacentral:lncRNA from 1 species